rnacentral:sRNA from 1 species
CUGUAAACUUGGGUCGCCUCUAGCUUAGCGAGCGCUGGAGUUUCAAGAGCGGGCAGUGGCUGCACACGCCAAACUUUCCCUAUGGCUUCGGUGACCAGGGCCGUGUUUGGAGAGCUGCCCUCGGGAGGAGGGACAGUGGAGAAGUUCCAGCUGCAGUCAGACCUCUUGAGAGUGGACAUCAUCUCCUGGGGCUGCACGAUCACAGCCCUAGAGGUCAAAGACAGGCAGGGGAGAGCCUCGGACGUGGUGCUUGGCUUCGCCGAGUUGGAAGGAUACCUCCAAAAGCAGCCAUACUUUGGAGCAGUUAUUGGGAGGGUGGCCAACCGAAUCGCCAAAGGAACCUUCAAGGUGGAUGGGAAGGAGUAUCACCUGGCCAUUAACAAGGAACCCAACAGUCUGCAUGGAGGAGUCAGAGGGUUUGAUAAAAUUGGAGUGCAAUGGUGUGUGCGAUCUCGGCUCACUGCAGCCUCAACCUCCUGGGCUCAAGCGAUCCUCCCUUCUCAGCCUCCCGAGUAGCUAGGACUACAGGUGCUCUGGACCCCUCGGGUGCUGUCAAAUGGCGUCCAGUUCUCGCGCAUCAGUCCAGAUGGUGAAGAA